AUGCGCAGAAAAAUGGUAUGUUUUCUUUACAUAUCAAAAGGUUGUAUCUGUUUCGUGGUCACCUUGACAUGGUGGGGGUCGUUGGUUCGAGUCCAAUCGCGCCUACCA
rnacentral:tRNA from 1 species